GACAGAGGCCUCAAGCGUUAGGCGGAAUCACUGGGCUUAAAGCGUGUGUAGGCGGAUCGUUAAGUGUCUUGUGAAAUCCCACGGCUCACCCGUGGAACUGCUUGGUAUACUGGGUGUCUUGAGCCACUCAGGGGCUACCGGAACAAGCGGUGGAGCGGUGAAAUGCGUAGAUAUCGCUUGGAACGCCAAUGGUGAAAACAGGUAGCUGGGGGUGU
rnacentral:rRNA from 1 species